rnacentral:rRNA from 1 species
CAGCAGCCACGGGAAUACAGAGGGUGCGAGCGUUAAUCGGAUUUACUGGGCGUAAAGCGUGCGUAGGCGGCUUUUUAAGUCGGAUGUGAAAUCCCUGAGCUUAACUUAGGAAUUGCAUUCGAUACUGGGAAGCUAGAGUAUUGGAGAGGAUGGUAGAAUUCCAGGUGUAGCGGUGAAAUGCGUAGAGAUCUGGAGGAAUACCGAUGGCGAAGGCAGCCAUCUGGCCUAAUACUGACGCUGAGGUACGAAAGCAUGGGGAGCAAACAGGAUUAGAUACCCGAGUAGUCCCUGUCUCUUAUAC